GACUUAGCCUGUGGCAGAGGCAGCUGCACACAUGUGGGAGGGAUAUGAACUUCUGAGAAAAGAGAAAAUCCCAUGUUGUACCCGACUCUAAUAGGCCAGGAACGAGCUUUGCCAUUGGAAUGUGGCAGUCCUGCCUCUGCAGGUCAGCAAAACUGGUGCCGAGGGAGCUGUUCUUGACGAAGCUAAAAAUAUCAAUAAGUCUUUGUCUGCUCUUGGAAAUGUGAUCUCUGCUUUGGCAGAAGGGACAAAAACACAUGUGCCAUACCGGGACAGCAAGAUGACUCGGAUUCUUCAGGACUCUUUGGGUGGGAACUGCAGAACCACCAUCGUCAUUUGCUGUUCUCCUUCUGUCUUCAAUGAGGCUGAGACCAAGUCCACACUGAUGUUCGGACAGAGAGCUAAGACCAUCAAGAAUACAGUCUCUGUGAACCUAGAACUGACAGCAGAAGAAUGGAAGAAGAAAUAUGAAAAAGAGAAAGAGAAAAACAAGACUUUGAAGAAUGUU
rnacentral:misc_RNA from 1 species